UAUUUCGUUAAAUGAGGAAGGAAUCCCAUCGUCGGCAUUUGCAAGUCCCAUUCCUUGGCCAACCUGGUCAGGGUGGUCGGGUGGCAGUAGUCGAAGGCCAGGAGCUGGAACCGGCAGUAGCAACGCUAUGUCGGGUCAACAAGCAAGGCAAUAUCAGGAGCAACUCAGGCGCCAACAAGAGCAAGAACGACAACGACGCCAACAACAACAAGAACAACAACAGCGACAGCGACAACAACAACAACAGAAGCGAGGUUGAUGCAAGAAGAAAUAUGACCAAUAUGGCACCUUGUUGAGACGAAAUAACAGGUCCUGGAAAGGUUCAAGAGUUAAAGCUGUCUCGACAGCUUGACUAGGCCCAUGACCCCCUCUACAAGGCAGUAUUGAUGUACAGCAAGAGGUAGUGUCCAUGACAUCAAGAAAUGCGAAGAACAAUGAAUUAUACAGUAGCAUUAGAGCAAUUAAUUAAUAAAUCUACAGCAUAUGAUUUCAA